GCAAGUGACCAAUUAACAGAUGCCAUAAUGGAUGAAGACAUUCGAAUUAAUUAAGGUAUAAAAGAUGUACAGUGAGAUGUAGCUGUACAGUUCACGAUGAAGAUUCAAUCAAGGGAAUUUGCAUGUAAACAAGUUAAAACAUCAUUCAGGAAUUGUAGAAUCGUCAGAUCAACUAGUUUGAAAAAUGAACUAUCUCUCUGAUGGAAGUCUAGAAGAAAUAAAAGGAUUAAUUAGACAACUGUUUACUCAGAACAGAUGAAUUAAACACAAUACAAUAGAUUUUCCAAUUUUAACUGAAAAUAACAUAGGAACUAUAGACAAAAUCCUUUACUUGGAGAACUGUUUAUUCACAACGAGGAAAUGCAUAACAAAACAGGAAGCGUUUCAGUUGAACCAGAAAAAAACGUCUACAUCUGGUCAGUAGUUUUAACUUAGAGAAAGCUGUACCCGAACCUCAGAGGUCUCUGACCUGACCGUUUAGUCCACGUCUCAUAAGCUACAUGAUUCAUAUCCGUUUACUGGCUGUCUUCGGGUUCUUGGAUAAGAUCGUUUCCGUCACCUGUGUUCGUUGGCUGGUACCUGUAAGCUACGAAGGCACGUGCUAGAACUUUGGUACCGCCAUACCGUAACUUCAAGUCGUAACUAAGCAACAAGGACUGCAAUUACAUUACAGUAGCCAGUGUAAAUAAAUAAAGAAAAUAGGAAUAUCUAAACUCCUUAAAAAUUAAAACGUAUGUAAAUUAACCACGACCUUCAAUGUUCAACUAAUCAGAUGAUUUAGUGCGUAAACUAAUCAGUUCAUUCAGAGUGUUAAAAAUUAGAUGAUUUAGUGUAUAACUAAUCAGUUCAUUCAGAGUGUUAACAAAUCAGCUGGGAUAUUGUGUAAGUAAU